UACGAAGGGUGCAAGCGUUACUCGGAAUUACUGGGCGUAAAGCGUGCGUAGGUGGUUUUUUAAGUCCGUUGUGAGAGCCCUGGGCUCAACCUGGGAAUGGCAGUGGAUACUGGAAAGCUAGAGUGCGGUAGAGGGUAGUGGAAUUCCCGGUGUAGCAGUGAAAUGCGUAGAGAUCGGGAGGAACACCAGUGGCGAAGGCGGCUACCUGGACCAGCACUGACACUGAGGCACGAAAGCGUGGGGAGCAAACAGG
rnacentral:rRNA from 1 species